GUCGCUGGCUGGCCGGCGCGUUCUGGUGCGCGCAGUGCUGUCCGCUCUGCCCACCUAUGCCAUUUCUGUGCUAAAGGCGCCAAAGAAGGUCUUGAAGGAGAUCGACAAAGCAAGGCGGCGUUUCCUAUGGGCGCAAGAAGAAGAGCUGACAGGUGGCAAGUGCAAGGUAGUGUGGAGCUCGGUAUGUUCGCCGACGGAGAAGGGAGGGCUGGGGAUCCUCGACCUGAAGCUCUUCACCUCUGCGCUGCGGUAGCGAUGGCUCUGGCUGGCGUGGCAACAACCACAACGGCCAUGGGCGGCCUUUCCCCUCCCCUGCGACAAGAUGGACAUCGCGACAUUCCAGAAUUCCACGCACGUCCUGCUCGGGAACGGCCAGCAGGCCUGCUUCUGGACGAGCUAUUGGUUGGGUGCGGCCCCUCCGGCCGCCGCCUUCCCGAGCCUCUACAACCACUCCAGGCGCAAGAACCGCACGGUGGCCGCCGCGCUCACCAACGACAAAUGGAUCAGAGACCUCCAUCACGGCAACACAUCGCUUAUCGUCGUCGAGUUUCUGCAACUCUGGAGGCAAAUUCAACAAGCAGGCCUGAUCCUAGACAGCCUCGCUCCCGAUCGGAUUCAGUGGGCUGCGGGCGGAGGUGA
rnacentral:rRNA from 1 species